CAAAAAAUAAGUGCUUGUACUAUGUAAUCAUUAGCGAUGUUUGUUUAUUGGAUACCGUAUAAAUAUGAAAAUCCAUUCAUUUAUUCCUAGAACAGCCUUCAAGGAAACACUACAAAACGGAAAUCGUGAUGCUGAAGGUUGCAGUCGUGUUGUUAGCUAUGGCCGUGGUCUUGACCACAGUCCAGGCCACGUUGUAUACCAGGCAAUAUGGUUUAAACACUAUGGAUGAUGCGUUCGAUCACUGGAAAAAACCCUACUAUCAACGACACGUGCCUGCUACGUCAUAUCAGCCUAGCGGAUGUACUUGUUACUGUAGAAAUGGGGUCAACUAUCCGAAACAGGGUACGGAUUUAGGAUAUACACCCAACAGUCGGGGAGGACAUGGAUAAAGAGUACCACACGAGAAAUCAGGAUCCAGAUGAUAGCAGAUUCUUCCGGGGUAGAUUCUUCACACACGUCAGUUUCUUUAAUUCUGGAAUAAAGACACAUAUGUAACCCUAGCACUAUUAAAUGUUUCAAGUGUUUUUUU